UUUAUGGAUCCCAACACCCAGGAAACAGAGGCUGGGGAAUUCUGACUCUGUGUUACACAGUGAACCUUGUCUCAAAACAAAAUAAAAUGAAAAACAGAUCAAAACAAACUGGAAGAGGAUUUUCUGCGCACAGCCUGCUCUCUGGGAGGAAGUAUAUCAGCCAUUUAGGGACUUCAAUCUCUGAUGUACGCGCCAAGGCAUUUACGACAAGGGAACAAAGGCUGGGCUGUUCUGGGAUCAUCAGUAAUUCCUGACCUACCUGCUCUAUGACCACAGCUUCACCCAGAUGACAGCUGCCAUAUCCAGCGUGGUGACACCAGUUUGUGACAUGAGGAAAGACCCGGAAGGCCUCGGAGCCGCUGGCCCUCCUGAAGUGGACACUGAAGAUGGAUUCCUUAAGGGAAGGUGGGAUUUGAUCUGUUCAUGUUGCUGCCGCUACAGUUCAUUACCUGAGUGCCCAGAUCUGCUCCACGGAUCUGGGUGGUAGCCAGCUCAGGCACUAGAACCUCGUGUUGUAGUACCUCU